CUGAGGUACCCUCCAACGCCUGUUCCAUAAAAUCAGGAAACAUCUGACAGAAGGAAGAGGAAGAAACAAAAGGAACUUCUCUCUUAGAUUUAAUUCUGACCUACCAGGAAGAACUGGAUUGUUGAAGCAGAAGUACUGGAGUCUCUGGAGCUAAAACCAAGGAUAAGAACAUUAAGAUUAUCCUGCUGGAGAGAGAGGCCAUGCGGAAGAACCCUGGAAAAUGAGACAGCUCACAGAGCAAGAGGCCAUGUGGAGAAGGCCUAGAAGUAAAAUGCCUCAUGGAACAAGAGGCCACAUGCAGAAGGCCUGGAGGAUGAGACGCCCUGUGAAGUGAGAGGCCACGUGGAGAAGGCCUAGAGGAGGAGACACCUUAUGGAGCAAGAGGCCGAAUGGAGAAGCCCCAGAGGGUUAGACACCUUGUGGAGCAAGAGGUCACACGCAGAAGUCCUGGGAGUGAGAUGCCUCACGAAGCGAGAUGCCUCGUGAAGCGAGAUGCCUCGUGGAGUGAGAGGCCAUGUGGAAGAACCCUGGAACUCAGCGGCUGAUAACACAAAGAUCCCAUGGUGUGAGAGAGGCCUUCAUGAACUUCCCGUCCAGCCCAGCUAGAGCCAAAUGGAGCCAUAUGUGUGACCGCAAGUGACAUCUACAAAAGAACGACCCAGUCACCCUGAGAAUUGUUAGAAAUGCAAAGCACUAAGUUUUGGGGUAGUUUGUUACACAGCAAUAGCUAACUGAUACAGAUGGUUUGAAUUACUUGACUUUAAAGUUCCUUCUUACCCUGAAAGUUUAUGGCUUAGUAAAGUGAAUUAAGCACAUUUGACUGAAACAGAGAGAUGGUGUAGGAAAAGAUCAGAAGGUAAGGGCAGGGCAAGGUGAGGAAGGCUUUCCGUGCCACGAUAAGGAAUUUGAGCUUUAACUGGUAGGUUCUGAAGCUGUCCCAGGAGGAAGUGACAUGAGAAGAUAGUUUUUUAGGAAGACCCACACUGCAGCAGCAUGUAGAUCAGACACGUGGGCACACAGAGCAGAUGUGAGAGAGAAGGAGGCAUGGAGACCUGAUUGCUGAGGCAAAAAGAUGCAGCUGACAAUUAUGGAGCAACAAGCUACUGAAUACAGAAUUGAACAUUCAGUCUUCAAGACACAGAUGUAAGCUGCUUUCUCUGUAUCAGCCUUCUCUGUAUCAACUCUUCAUUUUUUCCAACUAUGAUGUUUUUACUUUCAAAAAUCCAUGGGAGAAUACAUGGUAUGUCGUUAAAAGCCUGGGAUUUGAAAUAAGAAAGCCUUAGCUUUAAACCCCUUCUCUCACCUUCUAGCUGUGUAACUCUGGGCAAGUUACUGAACCUUGCUGUAUCGCAGCUUCUUCAUUUGUAAAAUGGAUAUAAUGAUAUUUGUCUCACAGGAGUAAUGCAAAGAUAAAAACGGAUUAUGUCUCAUGCAUUUACUUUUACUAAAUGGCUAAAUGCUCAAGCAACACAAAUACAUGAUUAUUUCUCUUUCACGUAACAGUCCAGGUUGGGAGUGUCAGGUUGAGGGGUGGAUCUUUUUCACAUCUUCUUGAAAGAAUUCGUGGUAAAAGCUGUCUUCAGUUUAUGCCUUCCAAGGUUCUUUUGGCCAUCGCCAUUCCAGAAAGAAGAGGAGAAGAGAGCAUGAAGGAGCCCGCCUAACAUGUUUUAUCUGGCUUCUCAGAAAUGGCACAUGCUUCUACUUGCAUUCCAUUGGCAAGAACACACGGCACACCAGCUGCCCACGGGGAUAGGGAAUCCCAGCUAGAAUUCCAUCCAAUAGAAGACAGAGGGGAGAGAAGAGCAGGGUAUUGGUAUCCACGCAAUUCAUCCAUUUAUUCCUCAAGCAUGUGUUAAGCGUUUGGCGAUGCUUCACGAUGUUGGACUCUGGACAUUCACAGAAGAUGAACACAUCUCACAAAAGGUGAAAAUGUUUAAAUCACCUGGGAUAAAGAACAUUCAGGGUUGAAAGAAUACAUGUUUGGUUAUAAUACUGCUUAUUAAGCAAGUAGAAAAUUAGAGUAAAUAUCAGCCCUUUAAGAAGACAGAUCUUCCAGAGAGCCUUAAAGGCAAGGUGGGCAUUUGAUGGUUUUAUCUGGGAACAUGCACUCCAGGUUCACCGUGAGCAGGUGAGAGACAUGGCUACACCUCUGAAAUGCUGCAAGUUCAUUUUUGAAGGAUUUGUCAUAGUAAAACAGAAAAAGUUCCCUUAUCCCCCUUACAGGGCGUGACAAGGGGAGUGGCUCCCUUCUUCCGCGCCCUGCAGCCUAAACCCCUAGGGAGAGCAUGCAGUCGGGCAGGUAGUAGGGAGCGUGGGCUCCAACCCCACCGCAGCGUCUAGGGUUGAGUGUUUACAGUUUUCGAAGCCCCGGUGAGCGUGUGUUGCAGCGUGCUUUUUCAGCUUAGCCAUCCGCAGGCGGCUUGUAUUAAUCAGCUCAAUUAGACCCUCUGCCUUAUCGCAAGGACAGAGGGCUUUUUGUAUCCUGGGGUUCUUGCCUAGUGUACUGGAAAAAUCUGAUCAUACAUGGGCUUGGAGAAUGAGUGCAAGGUUUUAUUGAGUGGUGGAAGUAGCUCUUAGCAGAUGGAUGGGAAGCCGGAAGAGGGAUGGAGUGGGAAGGGGUCUUCCCCUGGAGUCAGGCCGCUCAGUGGCUGGGCUUGCUUCUGACUGCCCUCUGCCAAAUUUCCCUCAGCGUCUGCGUGGUUCCACCGUCGAUGGCCUGCUAGUGUUUUUCUGCGAGUGUGUUCCUCUCGACGCCCAGCUGCUUGUACAUGUGCCCACUAGGGUCUCUCGGGUUUCUAUGGGCAUGGGAUGGCGGGGGGUUGUGGCGGGCCAGGGUGGUCUUGGAAAAUGCAACUUUUGGGCGUGAAAACAGGAAUGCCUGUCCUCACUUAGGUCCGUGGGCACAGGCCUGAGGGUGGAGCCCUGGCCAGGGACCCCAUCCUUCUCUACCCAGCACCUCCCUGCCCCCUCCCGUAUCAAUAGCAAUGAUGAAGGACUCACGCAGCCAUCUUUUCAGGAGCAUGUGACAGCCUGCAUGACCGGAGCCAAUGGUGAAUGUUUAAAUUCUGGGUCCCGAAGCAAUAUCUUGGGAAGGGCCUUCCUCUGUCCCACAGCUUCUAAAAAUGUUCUGUGCUUAUAGUAUUGGCUCAGUUUUGUGGAUGUGUUUCUGGGAUUAUUCAGUGACCUCAGACAGGCUGCUCCAAGUCUCCCUGGACCACCUGCGUAGUUCAGCCAUAUUCUACAGUGAGCACUUAGAACAGGACAUGCAGGGGCUACACAGGCAUCAAGGCUGGCUGAUUCCACAGAGCAAGAAUGUCAACAAGGAUCCAGCUUAUUUUUGCCUCUUCACCCCACCAUCUUUUAUGUCAGCCUCGUCCUCAGGGAAGUAGGAUGCAACAGUUCCAGCUGGACACGACAAUACUCACAGGAAGACGAAAGAGACUCUUAUUGCUGCUGUAUCGUGGGAACCUUGUCCCCGAUGCCCAUCAGGGUCAACUAUUUACAUGGGAAGGAAAAACAUACCCCGCAACUACAACCUGAUGUCAGUACCAAGAGCAGUAUGCAAACGACUAUUACGGGCGCUCAGAAGCAUCACAAUGGAAGGGAAGUUGCAGCUGCCUAUACCCACACCCACAUCUUGUCUACCUGCCUGCUGCGUCACAGCCUGGCUGCAUUACUGGGCUCACUUCAGUUCCAAGAAAGCUUCCAGAAAUCAUGGCAGGCACACCUGCAGUGAGCAGAUCUGUGUCUACUUGUCCUUUAAGUGGACACCACUUUUCUGUUCAGAGCACAGAUCAAUGUGUCAGACAGAGCUCUUGGAUGACAAUAUUGUCCUGGCAGGGAUCCAGAGCGGCUGGGGAUAGAGAAUAUUAAAUGGGUCUGGUGCAGAACAGUUGAGGUGUGACUGGAUGUGACAGAGGACAGCACCUCUUUGACAAUGACAUUAUGUGAGUUUGGGUGGGCUCUCAGCUCAGGUUUCAGAUGGCCAGGCAUCUGUUGCUGGCCGCCAUUCUGUUGACAUUUUACAUUUUGUGACCAUAAAUUAACUUUGGAAGAAGUUGAUAGACAAGUAGGUCAUUAUUUGGGUGUUCCUGUGUUUCUCAUAACAUUUUAAAUUCAGUCAGGGCAGAAAAUAUAUAUGUCUUUCCUUUAUACCAUUACCCUAAUCCCUGGCACAUGGUGGGUUUCCUCUUGACUUUAGUGGAACGUGCCUGGACCUUAACAAUCCCAACACCCCACCUUCCCCGCAACCCUGUCUUCUUCCCCAUCUCUCCAGCUGGCUUCCUGCCUUGUUUUCUCCUCACAUAGAUUUAACAGAUGCUCUGAGCCCCGCAGUGCACUUCAGUUCUAUUCUCUGCACUCGCCAUGGCACUUGGCACCAUUAACUGCAGCUCUCUCUGCCUUGACAUCUGCACCCCACUCUCCCCUGUGUGUUUUUUCUUUGGGGGUUUCUUAUCAGGCGCCUCUUCUUUAAAUGCUUGUUUUCCUUUGAGCCCUGUCCAAAGCUCUAGGUUCCAUUUUCCACUUUCUACGUUCUAUCUGGUCCUUCAUUCAAAUUUACAGCUCACAUCUCUGCUUUUGCCUCUAGCCCAGAUCUCUCUCUCUCUCUCUCUCUCUCUCUCUCUCUCUGUCUUUCAAACCUUACACAACUUGAGACAUCUUCACUCACAUAUCCUGCAGGUACACCGAACUCAACAUGGUCAAUACAGGAGACAGUCUCUCACCCCAAAAUGGAAUUUCUCUCUUUUUAAAGGAAACCAGCAUUCAUAAGCCAGAAGCCAAUCUGGAUUUUGUCUGGAAACUCAAGUAUAAGACCUAGCACCACUUGCCAAGGACCUCUGCUUUGCUUUGGUAGGCCAAGGGUCUGGCUCUGUUACCCAGGCUGGAUUGCAGUGG
rnacentral:lncRNA from 1 species